rnacentral:rRNA from 1 species
UACGUAGGGUGCAAGCGUUGUCCGGAAUUAUUGGGCGUAAAGAGCUCGUAGGCGGUUUGUCGCGUCUGCCGUGAAAGUCCGGGGCUCAACUCCGGAUCUGCGGUGGGUACGGGCAGACUAGAGUGAUGUAGGGGAGACUGGAAUUCCUGGUGUAGCGGUGAAAUGCGCAGAUAUCAGGAGGAACACCGGUGGCGAAGGCGGGACUCUGGGCCGAUACUGACGCUGAGGAGCGAAGGCGUGGGGAGCAAACAGG